rnacentral:rRNA from 1 species
GAUGAACGCUGGCGGCGUGCCUAAUACAUGCAAGUCGAGCGAACAGACGAGGAGCUUGCUCCUCUGACGUUAACGGCGGACGGGUGAGUAACACGUGGAUAACCUACCUAUAAGACUGGGAUAACUUCGGGAAACCGGAGCUAAUACCGGAUAAUAUAUUGAACCGCAUGGUUCAAUAGUGAAAGACGGUUUUGCUGUCACUUAUAGAUGGAUCCGCGCCGCAUUAGCUAGUUGGUAAGGUAACGGCUUACCAAGGCAACGAUGCGUAGCCGACCUGAGAGGGUGAUCGGCCACACUGGAACUGAGACACGGUCCAGACUCCUACGGGAGGCAGCAGUAGGGAAUCUUCCGCAAUGGGCGAAAGCUUGACGGAGCAACGCCGCGUGAGUGAUGAAGGUCUUCGGAUCGUAAAACUCUGUUAUUAGGGAAGAACAAAUGUGUAAGUAACUAUGCACGUCUUGACGGUACCUAAUCAGAAAGCCACGGCUAACUACGUG